rnacentral:rRNA from 1 species
UACGAACGCUGGCGGCAGGCCUAACACAUGCAAGUCGAGUGCCCUCGCGAGGGGGAGCGGCGGACGGGUGAGUAACGCGUGGGAACGUGCCUCUUGCUUCGGAAUAGCCUCGGGAAACUGGGGGUAAUACCGAAUGUGCCCUACGGGGGAAAGAUUUAUCGGCAAGAGAUCGGCCCGCGUUGGAUUAGGUAGUUGGUGGGGUAAUGGCCUACCAAGCCGACGAUCCAUAGCUGGUUUGAGAGGAUGAUCAGCCACACUGGGACUGAGACACGGCCCAGACUCCUACGGGAGGGAGCAGUGGGGAAUCUUAGACAAUGGGCGCAAGCCUGAUCUAGCCAUGCCGCGUGAGCGAUGAAGGCCUUAGGGUUGUAAAGCUCUUUCGUGGGGGAAGAUAAUGACUGUACCCCAAAAAGAAGCCCCGGCUAACUCCGUGCCAGCCGCCGCAGUAA